rnacentral:rRNA from 1 species
GUGCCAGCAGCCGCGGUAAUACGGAGGGGACUAGCGUUGUUCGGAAUUACUGGGCGUAAAGCGCACGUAGGCGGAUUUGUAAGUCAGGGGUGAAAUCCCGGGGCUCAACCCCGGAACUGCCUUUGAUACUGCGAAUCUCGAGUCCGGAAGAGGUGAGUGGAAUUCCUAGUGUAGAGGUGAAAUUCGUAGAUAUUAGGAAGAACACCAGUGGCGAAGGCGGCUCACUGGUCCGGUACUGACGCUGAGGUGCGAAAGCGUGGGGAGCAAACAGGAUUAGAUACCCGCGUAGUCC